CGUAACAAGGUCUCCGUUGGUGAACCAGCGGAGGGAUCAUUACCGAGUUUACAACUCCCAAACCCCUGUGAACAUACCAAUUGUUGCCUCGGCGGAUCAGCCCGCUCCCGGUAAAACGGGACGGCCCGCCAGAGGACCCCUAAACUCUGUUUCUAUAUGUAACUUCUGAGUAAAACCAUAAAUAAAUCAAAACUUUCAACAACGGAUCUCUUGGUUCUGGCAUCGAUGAAGAACGCAGCAAAAUGCGAUAAGUAAUGUGAAUUGCAGAAUUCAGUGAAUCAUCGAAUCUUUGAACGCACGUUGCGCCCGCCAGUAUUCUGGCGGGCAUGCCUGUUCGAGCGUCAUUUCAACCCUCAAGCCCAGCUUGGUGUUGGGACUCGCGAGUCAAAUCGCGUUCCCCAAAUUGAUUGGCGGUCACGUCGAGCUUCCAUAGCGUAGUAGUAAAACCCUCGUUACUGGUAAUCGUCGCGGCCACGCCGUUAAACCCCAACUUCUGAAUGUUGACCUCGGAUCAGGUAGGAAUACCCGCUGAACUUAAGCAUAUCA
rnacentral:rRNA from 1 species